UUAUUCCAGGCAGCCAAGGAUCCACUUAAAAGCUAAGGGUGUUUCUUAUGAAGGAAGAACUGAAAAUACAUAUUAAGGGACAACAAGCACAUAGAUUGAGGGAGCCAACCAGGAACAUCAGGAGCCUCAGAGAGUCCCUCGAGAGACGAGCUCACAUGAGCCCAAUCCUGGCACAAUGUGGAGGAGGAUAUGAAUCCCAGGAGGCAGGGAUGACUGCAGGCAUCUUGGAGGCUGACUACCAACCAUGGAUAGGUAAAUGAGUGCCAGGAGUUAGGAGAUCACACCUCGGUAGAGAGAGUUCCUUGAGCCAGGAAGACUAUGCACAGGCUCAGGAAGGCUGGCUGGGCCUAAACAGAAGUGGGUCAAAGGUUAAGGAGUAUGUCUCAGUCUAUUUGGGCUGCCAUAGCAAAAUGCCAUAGACUGGGUAACUCAUAAAUAGCAGAAACUGAUUCCUCACAGUUCUGGAGGCUGGGAAGUCCAAGAUCAAGUUACUGGCAGAUUGGGUGUCUGGUGGGGGUCCAUUCCUCAUAGAUGGCAUCUUCUUGCUGAGUACUCAACAUGACAGAAGGGGUGAACAAGCUCCCUGAGGUCUCUUUUAUAUGGGUACUAAUCCCAUCCAUAAAGGCUCUGCCUUCAAGACCUCGUCACCUCCCAAAGGCCUCACCUCCUCAUUUCAUCACACUGGGGAUGAGGUUUCAACCACUAAUUUUUGGUGGGAGGAGACAAAUAUUUAGACCUUAGCAAAGUACAACAAAAUGUUCCUGUGGUUGCUUUCUGAUAUUCACCCAAUCACCCUGAAGGGACAAACCUUUCUACCACUUCAAAGAGGGAGACAAUCUUACUAGCAUGUAAUAAUCAGCACUGUUACCCACAGCUCAAGCCCUCACCCUAGAAACAAAGCCAAGACCACUAAGUGGGUAGGUGUCCUGGCUAAGUGUGGACACAGGGCACAAUCAGAGAUGUGAACACACAAAGAGCUUCACCAGCUUCUCACAGACCCUGCUUGCCUUUCGAAGUGAUGAAUACACAUGGCCUGGUCAUUCCAGAGACUAAUAAGACCCCUCUGGCCCAUUACCUGAAACUGGGGACCCAAUACCAUGCAGAUGGACUGAGUCAUUACAAAGGCAAUUAAAUGCCCAACUCCAUAGCCAGGUGCCAACAUGUAGGCUUUUGUGCAUGGAUAACUUAGUUCUUUCAGGAGGGGAAGAAUCUUUAGUCUUAUUUUCUCUCAAGCCUGGGGUUAAUUGGGAAGCCAGCUUCGGUGACUAGUACACAGAGGCUAAUUUGUACAACCAUUGCUCACAAGUGGGUGGGGGGGAUGACGGCAA
rnacentral:lncRNA from 1 species